UACGAAGGGGGCUAGCGUUGUUCGGAAUUACUGGGCGUAAAGCGUGCGCAGGCGGUUAUAUAAGACAGUUGUGAAAUCCCCGGGCUCAACCUGGGAACUGCAUCUGUGACUGUAUAGCUAGAGUACGGUAGAGGGGGAUGGAAUUCCGCGUGUAGCAGUGAAAUGCGUAGAUAUGCGGAGGAACACCGAUGGCGAAGGCAAUCCCCUGGACCUGUACUGACGCUCAUGCACGAAAGCGUGGGGAGCAAACAGG
rnacentral:rRNA from 1 species